AAAGUGGGUCUCUUUUGUUGAUUGUGGGUCGUUUCACGGGAUUUUUGUCCCGUGUUUGUCGGGGAUGAUACGUGGUGUGUCUGUGCUUGUCGGCCUGAUUUCUUGCUCAAUACGGGGAUUUGAUGGGGAAUCUGAAUUUGGGGUAAUUAGAGAAUUUACGGGACAAUAUCCCCUCUGGGUCCUCGUGCUGAUGAUCUUGAGCCUCACGGCUAAAUUUGAGGAAGCUAUCUUUUUGGCGAUGGUGCACAGCUAAAUAUAGCACCCACCGGCACCAUCUAAAUGCAUUUCCCUUCCUCGUUCUCUCUCUCUCUCUCUCUCUCUCUCUCUCUCUCUCUCUCUGACAUUCUUAAAGUUAGUCAACAGUUUUUCUUUGGGUCAAAUGGAGCGUAAGGAGAGAAUUUAGCAAGCAGGAGAUCUGUGUGUGUCCACAGAGGUGGAGAUAUUGAUUGAGUGUAUAACUGUGUCUUUUAAAAUCGACGCCUCCGAAGACAAUUGCUACCAUAGUUUGUACUACAGAAGUACAAACUCUCAUCAGUGAACUACUUCUCUCCUUUUGUGACAUUUCGGAGAUUUCAGAAAGAGGAAAGGCUUCAUUGCCCCUGAAAUCUUUAGAACAGCAGAACACCGCAACCUCAGAGGAUUGUUCGGGGUCUCCAGUCAUUUGGCAUAACAGGUGUGCCCUUCUGACUUUCCUUACUCUCGAGUCUGAUGGAAACUGGAAAAUUCUUGCUGUACCAGUGCAAUGUCCGGAUAACACAAAUCCUCUAACUCGUCACUCUCGGGUGAAUUCCUGGAUUUCAUGAUGGAUCCAAAUGGCAGCCAACUGACAGACCUUGUUUUAUAUUCAUCAGUACACAGGCCGAAGCUCUAGUGGGUCCCGUGUACACAGGCCGAAGUCAACCUCGUAAUAGGGCAAUCCCUGAUUCUAGUGUGCCUCCUGACAGCAAGGCAGAUGGAACAAUAAGGACAUGUACCAGCAAGAAAGCAAGAAAAAAGGGGGAAACAGGGGGAGAAACUUCCCUUGAAUGGCGGGUCAGCUGAAAUUUCACCGUUAUCUUCCCAUCAAGGAGAUCUUCAAGGCAACCUUAAUAGUGGCAGGGACACAUCAGAAGCUAUUAUUGCGUCUUCUGAUCAAAUUGUUCCUGAAAAGUUUCCUGUUUCUGAUCCUGAGAAUCCGCUCAAAACUAAGGAAUCACGACGCCCAGGCAGUCCAAGUUCGAAUGGCUCCUCAGAGUUGGAUAUAGCUUUGGUCAGUUCAGUGAAUUCAAAUCCUUGCCAAACGGUAUUGAAUGAUGUGAUUGAUUUAGCCGAUCAACACGAGGAAACAGCGAGGAGUAAUAAUAAGAAUGUUGCCAAGAAAAACAACCGAGUCAGAACAGUUGUCAACAUUCCAAGUGCCUCUAGAUCGGGCAGCUUUGGGAAUUCACGUUUCCAUAAUACAGGCAAGGAAAAAGUCAUCCUGUGUGGCAGAAGGUUCAGAGGAAAGUUGGGAGCCAACGCGAUUCGUCAAAGGUAAAUCACAAUUAUGUGGAGACAAAUGAAGCACCUAGAGAUGAAUAUAAGAAGCAUAGACCAGCUAAGGAUUCAGGGAAGGGAAAGAGGAAGCACUGUCCAAAUUCCAAACAGGAGAGCAACCGCUAUACGAGGAAGGGGUCUUCUAUUGACAAGUCUGAGCUCAGAAGCUCGAACAAGUCUGCUCACUCAAACAUUUCAAGUGUUUCAGAAGUCGCCUCUCCAAGUGGUAGUCGCAGGGAUCAGCUGAGGACUGGUGAAGCUGAGUGCUUGAAUCCUGAAGCAGUUGAAGAUUCCUGUGUUUGCCAUGAUGGUUUGCAGCUCAAUGGAGACAACGGUAGUUCUACUGCAAACUCAGACUUAUAACGCAUGGAAGACUUGGACAGCUCACUAGGAGAAUCUCGGGUGGAUCAGAACAUUAUGAUUUCUCCUGUAUGCACUCCUCACCUUCUAGCUAAUGGAGUCGACCAAUCAGGUAAAGAAGAUGUCCUCUCUGAGUCUUGCGGGCAAAAGAGCACUGCUGGGUCUGUUACACGGAAAUGGGUACCCGUCGGGACAAAAGCUCUAGCUGCAACUGGCCUAACUGGUAAAUCAUGCAUCUCUGUUGAGAAUGGUCAGGCGGAAGCUCGUCAAGAACAAACUCCUGAUGUAGAUUCCGAAAGUACUAUUACUUUAUCAAUCUCUGAAGUUGAAAAUAACUGUUCUCCUUCUGAGGAGGAAGGACAAACUGAAUCAACAGAGAAUAGCAAUUCUGGUGUACCUGAGGAGCAGAAUCACAGAGUAGCCUCUGAUAGUUCCGUGAUUAGUGAAUUUAAAAGUCAGUUUGAAACUGAUUUAGACAGGCUAGCGAGGGCAAUAGGUAAUGCCCACAGAGCACAAUUAGCGUCAGAAGCUGUUCACAUGGCGACUGGUGGUCCCAUUGCCGAGUUCGAAAGACUUCUUCAUUUAUCUUCUCCAGUGGUUUCUCUCUCACAUUCUAUCGCAACUAAGAUGUGCUCGAGGAACCAUUUGACUUCGACCAUGGGCAUACAUGAGACACCUGAUAUCCCUUUGGGAUGCCUGUGGCAGUGGUACUAGAAGCAUGGAAGCUUUGGUCUGGAAGUUCGGGGGAAGGAUUAUAACAACUCAAAGAGAUUAGGAAUUGAUCGGUUCUCAUUCAGGGCUUACUUUGUUCCAUAUUUAUCAUCGGUUCAGCUGUUCAGAGGUGGUAAGUGGCAGAUGAGGAAGAGUUCAUUGGUGAUCCCGAUAAUCUCAAAACAUAUGAGAACUCAACUGUUGGAAACUUGCCGAUAUUUCCUCUCCUAGUACCUCGGGCUAGCAAAGAUGACAUCGCUUCUCAGACCGUCGAGAGUGCAGAGUCUCAUGAAUCUGAGCUGAUCUUUGAAUACUUUGAGUUAGAGCCACCACAGCAGAGGCAGCCGUUGUAUGAGAAGAUUCAGGAGCUCGUUAGAGGUGAUGGGCCUUCGCGGGACAAAGCUUAUGGUACUCGGUGGCAUGGUAUCCAAUUUAUAGAAUACCUGAUGGAGACUUCCGUGCAGCAUUUUUGACUUACCAUUCUCUUGGCCAUUUUGUUCGUAGAGAUGGUUUAGACAAUUGUGUCGCGUCUCCAGUGGUUGGGCUUCAGAGUUACAAUGCUCAGUUAAGGCCUCCCCUGAUGAGCCAAAAGUCACAAAUCCCGAGUUUAGACCCAUCGAAGAUCCUAACAGAGCGACUCAGGACCCUGGAGGAGGCGGCUUCCUUGAUGUCUAGAACUGCAGUGAGCAAAGGGAAUGGCCUGAUCUCUGUAAAUAAUCACCCCGAUUUUGAGUUCUUCCUCUCCAGGCAAGAUCCCGAGUCCCUAGACUUGCACCCCCAACUCCCAGAAGAAAGCAGUCGUUUAUAAUUCAUAAACAAGGAUUUGAUAGUCAGUUUCCUAACCUCAGGCAGGAUUAGGAAUGGAUGUAAAUAACACCAAAAUCACAGUAAGCCACCUCUUAGUUUUUCCUUUCCGGGUUUUCCUUGUUUCUCUCUGGACACAAACAAGAUUAUAUAGACUAUAGAGGUUUGUAUGCUUUUCUUCAGAAUAUUUUGUGCAUGCUUAGAUUCGAACUCGCGCUUUGUGCAAUAUUUGCUAAAUAAAAUGGUUACCGAAUCUUCAGUUUUCUUUUCA